rnacentral:tRNA from 1 species
GCCCCCGUGGUGUAACGGAUAACACAACGGCCUCCGGAGCCGUCGAUACAGGUUCGAUUCCUGUCGGGGGUACCA